rnacentral:rRNA from 1 species
GAUGAACGCUAGCGGCAGGCUUAACACAUGCAAGUCGAGGGGUAUAGUUCUUCGGAACUAGAGACCGGCGCACGGGUGCGUAACGCGUAUGCAAUCUACCUUUUGCAGAGGGAUAGCCCAGAGAAAUUUGGAUUAAUACCUCAUAGUAUGUGAGAAUGGCAUCAUUUUCACAUUAAAGUCACAACGGCAAAAGAUGAGCAUGCGUCCCAUUAGCUUGUUGGUAAGGUAACGGCUUACCAAGGCAACGAUGGGUAGGGGUCCUGAGAGGGAGGUCCCCCACACUGGUACUGAGACACGGACCAGACUCCUACGGGAGGAAGCAGUGGGGAAUAUUGGACAAUGGGCGCAAGCCUGGUCCAGCCAUGCCGCGUGCAGGAUGACGGUCCUAUGGAUUGUAAACUGCUUUUGUACAGGAAGAAACACUGGUUCGUGAACCAGCUUGACGGUACUGUAAGAAUAAGGAUCGGCUAACUCCGUGCCAGCCGCCGCCGUAACAC